rnacentral:rRNA from 1 species
GGAUGAACGCUGGCGGUAUGCUUAACACAUGCAAGUCGAACGGGCUCUUCGGAGCUAGUGGCAGACGGGUGAGUAACGCGUGAGAAUCUGCCUUCAGGUUGGGGACAACAGUUAGAAAUGACUGCUAAUACCCAAUGUGCCGUAGGGUGAAAGAUUUAUCGCCUGAAGAGGAGCUCGCGUCUGAUUAGCUAGUUGGUGGGGUAAAAGCCUACCAAGGCGUCGAUCAGUAGCUGGUCUGAGAGGAUGAGCAGCCACACUGGAACUGAGACACGGUCCAGACUCCUACGGGAGGCAGCAGUGGGGAAUUUUCCGCAAUGGGCGAAAGCCUGACGGAGCAAUACCGCGUGAGGGAGGAAGGCUCUUGGGUUGUAAACCUCUUUUCUCAGGGAAGAAUAACUGACGGUACCUGAGGAAUAAGCAUCGGCUAACUCCGUGCCAGCAGCCGCGGUAAUACGGAGGAUGCAAGCGUUAUCCGGAAUCAUUGGGCGUAAAGCGUCCGCAGGUGGCCCUAUAAGUCUGCUGUCAAAGACCGGAGCUUAACUCUGGAAAGGCGGUGGAAACUGUAGAGCUAGAGUACGGUAGGGGUAGAGGGAAUUCCCAGUGUAGCGGUGAAAUGCGUAGAGAUUGGGAAGAACACCGGUGGCGAAAGCGCUCUACUGGGCCGUAACUGACACUCAGGGACGAAAGCUAGGGUAGCGAAAGGGAUUAGAUACCCCCUGUAGUCUUAGCUGUAAACGAUGGAUACUAGGCGUAGCUUGUAUCGACCCGAGCUGUGCCGAAGCAAACGCGUUAAGUAUCCCGCCUGGGGAGUACGCACGCAAGUGUGAAACUCAAAGGAAUUGACGGGGGCCCGCACAAGCGGUGGAGUAUGUGGUUUAAUUCGAUGCAACGCGAAGAACCUUACCAGGACUUGACAUGUCGCGAAUUCUGGGGAAACUCGGAAGUGCCUUCGGGAGCGCGAACACAGGUGGUGCAUGGCUGUCGUCAGCUCGUGUCGUGAGAUGUUGGGUUAAGUCCCGCAACGAGCGCAACCCUCGUCCUUAGUUGCCAGCAUUAAGUUGGGCACUCUGGGGAGACUGCCGGUGACAAACCGGAGGAAGGUGGGGAUGACGUCAAGUCAGCAUGCCCCUUACGUUCUGGGCUACACACGUACUACAAUGGUUGAGACAAAGGGCAGCGAGCGAGCGAUCGUAAGCGAAUCUCAUCAAACUCAGCCUCAGUUCAGAUUGCAGGCUGCAACUCGCCUGCAUGAAGGAGGAAUCGCUAGUAAUCGCAGGUCAGAAUACUGCGGUGAAUCCGUUCCCGGGCCUUGUACACACCGCCCGUCACACCAUGGAAGCUGGCCACGCCCGAAGUCGUUACCCUAACCCUUAGGGGAGGGGGAUGCCGAAGGCAGGGCUAGUGACUGGGGU